AUUGAACGCUGGCGGCAGGCCUAACACAUGCAAGUCGAACGGUAACAGGAAGAAGCUUGCUUCUUUGCUGACGAGUGGCGGACGGGUGUGUAAUGUCUGGGAAACUGCCUGAUGGAGGGGGAUAACUACUGGAAACGGUAGCUAAUACCGCAUAACGUCGCAAGACCAAAGAGAGGGACCUUCGGGCCUCUUGCCAUCGGAUGUGCACAGAUGGGAUUAGCUAGUAGGUGGGGUAACGGCUCACCUAGGCGACGAUCCCUAGCUGGUCUGAGAGGAUGACCAGCCACCCUGGAACUGAGACACGGUCCAGCCUCCUACGGGAGGCAGGAGGGGGGAAUAUUGCACAAUGGGCGCAAGCCUGAUGCAGCCAUGCAGCGUGUAUGAAGAAGGCCUUCGGGUUGUAAAGUACUUUCAGCGGGGAGGAAGGGAGUAAAGUUAACACCUGUACUCAUUGACGUUACCCGCAGAAGAAGCACCGGCUAACUCCGU
rnacentral:rRNA from 1 species